GAACAGACAUGUAGUCAGAAGAGAGAGAUAAAAUAUUCACCCACGAAAAGAUCCCCAACUCAAGACUAAAUCAGCAGAGCAGUGACAUUAAAGGAGCAACUCUGUCAAAUACAAGCUCUCCACUAGGAAAGGUAGUGUUGAGGAGCGAUUGGUGAAUCUGCCCUAAACAAUGAAAAUACAUAGAAGUUGAAGAACAAAAUCCUGAAGCUUAGUCUGCAAUUGUCUCAUGUGCCUCUAACAAGAAAUGGAAGAGACAUUUUUCCACUUUACUUCUAUGAAACUACUACCUCUCUAGAAACAUUUUUAGACUGCA
rnacentral:lncRNA from 1 species